UUGUGACCAUAUCACAUUGAAACAGAAUUUCCCCUAUGAUUACUGAAGUUAAGCAAUGUCAAGCCUGGUCAGUACCUAGAUGGGUGACCACUUGGCAAUACCAGGUGCUGUA